AACUGUCAUGGUGCUGAUGGGAGUGUAGCAGGGAGGACAACCAGAGGUCACUCUCCUGGUCAUCUCGGUUUUGUAUCACAAAUUCUUGAAGGAGAAGAAUUCAAAUUCAUGAGCCUUCAUUGUGAACAAAUCAAAGUAAAUGCACAAACUAAAGCAAAAUGAAACUCUAGAUGACUGAGAGAAAGGGACAUGGAUGAACCUGGAGAACAUCAUUCUCAGCAAACUGACACAAGACCAGAAAAUGAAAUACCGCAUAUUCUCACUCAUAGAUACAGUCCUCUAGCCCUGCAUAGGCCUCAGCCAUCGGCCUCCCAGCUUGAAGUGUCCGCCAGCUAUGCUACUGAUGGGGGAUAGGAUGAUACACUCUUGGAUGGUGCAUGAGAUAUCAUCUAAUUUGACUUUCUGCACAUAGAGAAACAAAGGCCAAGAAAGGCAAAGGGAAUUCCUCAACGCACACAGCUGGAAAGUGGCAUGGUUGGGAACUGAACCUACCUUAUCUUUCUAGUCCUAUUUUUUUAAGUGUCCACAUACAUCUAUUCUAAAGAAGGCCUUUUCUGGACACCAAAGUCCUCUGUCUUAGUCCAUUUCCUGCGGCUAUUAAUAGCACGUAUUGCAUGCUAUUAAUAUUAAUAUGAACAGAGGACCCAAGACUGACUAAUUUACAAUGAUCAGAAAUGCAUUUUCCACAGUUCUGCUGGCUGCGAAGUCCAAGAUCAAGUCACUAGCAGGUUUGGUGUCUAGCAAGGGCUGCUCUCUGCUUCCAAGAUGGUGCUGUAUUGGUGCAGAGGGAAGUUCAUUAAAAAACACUGCCUUUUCACAUGGCAGAAGGUGGAGGGCAAGAGAAUUGAAUGUUGAGCUAAGCCUCUUUUAUAUGACUUUAAUCCCAUUCACAAGGGAAGAGGCAUCAUUGUCUAAUCAUAUCUUAAAUGCUCUGCUUCUUACUAUCACCAAACUGACAUCAUUUGAAUUUUAAAGGAGAUCCUCCAAUGUCUCCUGGGGACAACCAAAGCUUAAAGUGUCCAAAACACCAGCAAAAACUCUCCCAUGCACUCAAGGCUCAAAAGCCAGCCAGAGACACACUCUCUUGACUGCUGCCAUUUGUAGAGUAUCUAUUGUGUGCAGUCUCUGCAGAAAACACAGCAAAAUCACCUGCAAUAGCCCUGUGGGAUACAUGCUAUUAUUCUCAGCCUGCAGGUAAUAUAACUGAGGAAUAGCACAGCUAAGUGAUUCACCCAAGGUCAUACAUAAAGUGGUUGGACCCCACAAUGCAUUUGUGUCUUUUGUCUGUAUGGUUUUCCCUCUCUUAAGAGACAGAGGUUGAGACGCUGGGGUAUGAGAUUGAGAUGCUUCUUGCUUAGGUACUAUCUGAGAGUAACUUGACUCUUCAGAUUAACCCCAAACCAGCACAGGGAAUUGAUGAAAUGGGACAGAAGACAGAAACAUUUACUUGCAGGGCUUGCUUAUCUAUCCAACAUGUAUUUCAAGAGAACUUACUAUGAGCCAGCCCUGUGUGAGGACACAACACUGGACAAAGUGUGUGACCUAGGGACAAGGUUUAAUCUAUGCAUUCCCAGGCUGAGGAUGCUCUUAGGAUUUUCUCUCUUUUCUCUUUUGACUCUUUGAAAUCUUGCUCCCUUGUGUGGUUAAUACCAGAGGGACCUAGUGCUUCCUUCUGCUUGAUAGAAGCUAUUUUCUCUCUCUAGAAAGGUAGCUCAAACAGUCCAAUUUUAGUCCUUUGGAGAAACACUCUUCCCAAAUCUCACGUUGCAGUGGCAAAUCCUGUGGGCUGAGAUCAUCUGUGACUAUCAGAUAAGGCCCUGAGUCACUGCCCGACUGUGUUUAAAGCCGAAAGCUUCAGCCUUUUUCUACCUAGGCUUCCGGAUGCUUAGAGCGACUUGUAAUGUCUAGUUCAUUGAAAUUUUGCAGUGGUUUUUAGAACAAAAUCCUGACACAACCCCUUUCUAACUCCAAGUGACUUUCAGAAUCAUAAGAAUGAACCAACAAUAGAAAUGU